AUGCUGAGCUUGGAGGAGAGGUCUCUGGCAGUAGGGGUUGCUGCAAGAGACAGCAGAGUUGAUGAGAACUUGGGCAAGUUCAGAGAACUUGGAGUUCCCUUGAAGCUCAUCCAACAGCCAGCUGCCCUGACUUGGCUGUGUGAAGAGCGCAGCAGCUCCUGCGCUGCACCUGAGAACAAGAGCAUUGUGCAUCCAUAUCGUGUAAGCAGGAUGAGAAUGAAAUACAAAACAUGGUGUGUUCCUCAUUAUCUUGCUUGCAUGUGACCAUUUGGAACCGUGAAUGGCAGUGAACAGUUCCUCAGUGAGAGGGGCACCACUGGCUCCCCCACCACAAAUCCCACUCUGUUAACAGAGGUCUUUUAACUUGCAUGUAAUGUCUUGCAUGAGCUUCGUGUUUUGUCAUGCAGGUCUCCCUCCUCUGUUGUUAUGAGGAAGGAAUAUUCCUUGUUCCCUUGUCAGGCACUGCAGUGCUCUCAAGCUUUUUUUUGUGUGUGUGUGUGUGCUGGUUGGUUUUGGUCGAUUUGUUUAUUUUCUGUUUGUUCCUAGUGACAGCACUAUCUAAACGUUUUCCAGGGUGUUUAGUUACUUCGUGAAAAUGUUAUGAAUCAUGCUAGUAAGUUGUGCUGCCUUGCCCAGCUUUCCUGUUGGGAAGUGGCUGGAAGUGUAAUGGAAAUGUAGGCAGCCCAAGGGAAGCAGGCAGCAUCUGUCCCAGCGGAGAGCAGAGCCCCUGCUUCCUUCCUCUGCUUUGGCCAAAGCCUGGUGGGGCCAGGCUGCCAAAUGGCCGGCAGCAGUAAUGAUAAGGGAGUGUAAGCAGAGUUUUAUUAUAAUGUCUUUUACUUUGUAAUUUUAACUGCAACAACUACCAAAAUGAUCGAUAGUUCAGUUCUUUAGUGUUAAUGCUUUUUUUAUAAACCACUGGAAGACUCCAAGCAAAUGACAAAAAAUAAAGCUUUUAUGAAUGUUUAAGCUACUUUUCCA
rnacentral:lncRNA from 1 species